rnacentral:rRNA from 1 species
UACAGAGGGUGCGAGCGUUGUUCGGAAUUAUUGGGCGUAAAGAGCGUGUAGGCGGCUUGUUAAGUCUUGCGUGAAAUCUCGGGGCUCAACCCCGAGCGGUCGUGAGAAACUGGCAGGCUAGAGUGCGGGAGAGGAGAGUGGAAUUCCUGGUGUAGCGGUGAAAUGCGCAGAUAUCAGGAAGAACACCCGUGGCGAAGGCGGCUCUCUGGAACGCAACUGACGCUGAGACGCGAAAGCGUGGGGAGCAAACAGG